AUGUUUAAUCCUAGCUUGAUAUUUCCUUCUCCUUUAUACAGGUACUUAGAAAAAGACCGUAAGCACAAAGAACAGAAUGCCUUUGAGAAAACAGGAUUUCAUGUGUACCCAGCCACUCAUUCCUGUAAUAGGAAGUAUUCUGUAUCUCUUACAGGUAGUCCAGGGUAUUUGGCAGACAGUCUUUCUGAUGUUUCUGAAGUAGAAACAGUAACGGUAGCAGCUCAGCAGAGACAGGAUCCUCUGAACCUAGCUAGAAUAGCUCAAAGGAAUUGGAAUAAAGAAAAUUUCUCCUUUGUGAUGUUUGUAUAG
rnacentral:lncRNA from 1 species